rnacentral:rRNA from 1 species
UACGAAGGGUGCUAGCGUUGUUCGGAAUCACUGGGCGUAAAGCGCGCGCAGGCGGCUUUUCAAGUCAGAGGUGAAAUCCCAGAGCUUAACUCUGGAAUUGCCUUUGAAACUGUAGAGCUAGAGUUCAGGAGGGGAUAUGGGAAUUGCUAAUGUAGAGGUGAAAUUCGUAGAUAUUAGCAGGAACACCAGUGGCGAAGGCGCCUAUCUGGGCUGACACUGACGCUGAGGCGCGAAAGCGUGGGGAGCAAACAGG